UAUCUCGCGAUAACUUAAACGACCUUGGCACGGUCGCCGGACACCACUCGCCGAGGAUGAUAUCCUUUAAUAUCAAUUUUAUUCACGAUAAGAAAGCGAACGAAUCACUUGUUCACUGUUCAAACGUCGAGAACUUACUUAAGUUAAUAUUUGAGUUAUUAUUUCGUAUCAUACGAUGCUUAUUGACUUCUGGUGUUAUAAGGAUGAUUAACCGUUACAAUAGAGGAUGACUUUGUAAAGACAUACAGGCAAACAUAUAGAAUUACCAUACAGGCCACCCGAGACAAUAAUUCCAUAUCUCAUCAGGGAGUCCACCAACGCUCUGUAAACCAUUAGCAGGAUUUUUCUGCUUAAAAUAUGCCUUUAAGUGUGAAGUCUAGGAAUAAGUCUUCGUAUGUUGUUAGCAAGAUUGUUAGCAAUCAAUUGUGAUACCCAAAUAUUAGGUGGAUUCCACAGAGAGCCUCCACACCAGAAACCGAUUCAAUUAUUUGCUAAAUUAUAUUUACUGAAGACUUAACUCUUAAAAUCACUCUAAUUUGUUGUUGAUUCCAAUCGUUCUACCGUUAUAAAAUUGUUAAUUUUUUUUUAAAUACAUCAGUUGUUCAGUUGAA